AUUGCUUGCACUGUGUGUUUGUGUUCAAACUCUCCGUAGCGUGCAGUUGCAAAAUUUUUUGUAGUGAAACUGAUGUGAGAUUAAAAGGAUCUAUCACAUAACUAGGCAUCAUCUUGGUAAUGAAUUAUAGAUGGACAAGUCUCAGAGGCUGAAAGAUUUUGAAAAAUUAUGCACUUGCCUCCAAAAGAAAAGGAAAAAGUGUUUAUAAGGACAAUACCAUUGUUGUACUGUAAAAUAUCUAGCAGAAGUAACUCAAAGGGUAGACUGCAUUCUGAAUCUAGACUUCUCUGGUGGCUGAGACAUAUGUCACCUUCUACACUCCUCACUAGCCUGGCAGCAAGCAGUUGCAAUAUGCCACUAUGGUAGAGCCACUGCCUGCUGUCUGCCCAGCCUGGCAGGGUCCAAGCAAUGAUGCUGCUCUAUGCCCCUGUGGGACUGCAGUAAGAACUACUCAACUGACCUCCAUAAAUGAAUGGAGCAGCCCUGCUCGGAGCAGCGUGCAUCUUCCUGGAGCUGUACACAAGAAAGGGCUCCAUCUGAGUCACCCUCCUAAUUUGAGUACCCCUUUACAUCUUAGCAGUAAUAGUUGAAAGCCAUCAGAGCCAGCUAGAAAAUCCUUGUGUCUGUGUUCUCCCAUGCAAAUAUCUCUUCUCCCUAUAUAUUAGUUACCAUGUGUGGGUUUUCUCUCUCACUCUCUCUUGCCAUAUGUGUGGGAGUUGAUGGCAUCAACUUUAUGAAAUCUCAGCGCAUGCCAAGAACAGCUGGAGAAGUUGAAACAAGUUCUGGGUGAGGUAUGCUAUUCCCUGACAAACCUGGCGAGAGUUGUGAAAGAAGCGACGUCCCUGCCAAUUCAGAAAAUGAAGCUUCAGUGCAUCUUGCUAAAGACAGAAAAAUGCAUUGUACACCUGACAGAAGUUGCUUGUCUUGAGACUUCUCGAGAACAAUCUGUCAAAUGUAGCAGGCUGUCAUUAAGAACAAUUAAACUAAACUAAAAUC